rnacentral:rRNA from 1 species
GGCCGGGCGGGCUGCUUUACCAUGCAAGUCGAACGGUAACAGGUCUUCGGAUGCUGACGAGUGGCGAACGGGUGAGUAAUACAUCGGAACGUGCCUAGUAGUGGGGGAUAACUACUCGAAAGAGUAGCUAAUACCGCAUGAGAUCUACGGAUGAAAGCAGGGGACCUUUGGGCCUUGUGCUACUAGAGCGGCUGAUGGCAGAUUAGGUAGUUGGUGGGGUAAAGGCUUACCAAGCCUGCGAUCUGUAGCUGGUCUGAGAGGACGACCAGCCACACUGGGACUGAGACACGGCCCAGACUCCUACGGGAGGCAGCAGUGGGGAAUUUUGGACAAUGGGCGAAAGCCUGAUCCAGCAAUGCCGCGUGCAGGAUGAAGGCCCUCGGGUUGUAAACUGCUUUUGUACGGAACGAAAAGCCUGGGGCUAAUAUCCCCGGGUCAUGACGGUACCGUAAGAAUAAGCACCGGCUAACUACGUGCCAGCAGCCGCGGUAAUACGUAGGGUGCAAGCGUUAAUCGGAAUUACUGGGCGUAAAGCGUGCGCAGGCGGUUUUGUAAGACAGUGGUGAAAUCCCCGGGCUCAACCUGGGAACUGCCAUUGUGACUGCAAGGCUAGAGUGCGGCAGAGGGGGAUGGAAUUCCGCGUGUAGCAGUGAAAUGCGUAGAUAUGCGGAGGAACACCGAUGGCGAAGGCAAUCCCCUGGGCCUGCACUGACGCUCAUGCACGAAAGCGUGGGGAGCAAACAGGAUUAGAUACCCUGGUAGUCCACGCCCUAAACGAUGUCAACUGGUUGUUGGGUCUUAACUGACUCAGUAACGAAGCUAACGCGUGAAGUUGCCGCCUGGGGAGUACGGCCGCAAGGUUGAAACUCAAAGGAUUGACGGGGACCCGCACAAGCGGUGGAUGAUGUGGUUUAAUUCGAUGCAACGCGAAAAACCUUACCCACCUUUGACAUGGCAGGAACUUACCAGAGAUGGUUUGGUGCUCGAAAGAGAACCUGCACACAGGUGCUGCAUGGCUGUCGUCAGCUCGUGUCGUGAGAUGUUGGGUUAAGUCCCGCAACGAGCGCAACCCUUGCCAUUAGUUGCUACAUUCAGUUGAGCACUCUAAUGGGACUGCCGGUGACAAACCGGAGGAAGGUGGGGAUGACGUCAAGUCCUCAUGGCCCUUAUAGGUGGGGCUACACACGUCAUACAAUGGCUGGUACAAAGGGUUGCCAACCCGCGAGGGGGAGCUAAUCCCAUAAAGCCAGUCGUAGUCCGGAUCGCAGUCUGCAACUCGACUGCGUGAAGUCGGAAUCGCUAGUAAUCGUGGAUCAGAAUGUCACGGUGAAUACGUUCCCGGGUCUUGUACACACCGCCCGUCACACCAUGGGAGCGGGUCUCGCCAGAAGUAGGUAGCCUAACCGCAAGGAGGGCGCUACCACGGCGGCUGG